GGCGGACGGGUGAGUAAUGCAUAGGAAUCUGCCUAUUAGUGGGGGCAACGUGGGGAAACUCACGCUAAUACCGCAUACGAUCUACGGAUGAAAGCCGGGGACCUUCGGGCCUGGCGCUAAUAGAUGAGCCUAUGUCGGAUUAGCUAGUUGGUGGGGUAAAGGCCUACCAAGGCGACGAUCCGUAGCUGGUCUGAGAGGAUGAUCAGCCACACUGGGACUGAGACCCGGCCCAGACUCCUACGGGAGGCAGCAGUGGGGAAUAUUGGACAAUGGGCGAAAGCCUGAUCCAGCAAUACCGCGUGUGUGAAGAAGGCCUGAGGGUUGUAAAGCACUUUCAAUGGGAAGGAACACCUAUCGGUUAAUACCCGGUAGACUGACAUUAGCCAUCCAA
rnacentral:rRNA from 1 species